rnacentral:rRNA from 1 species
GAUGAACGCUGGCGGCGUGCCUAAUACAUGCAAGUCGAGCGAACAGACGAGGAGCUUGCUCCUCUGACGUUAGCGGCGGACGGGUGAGUAACACGUGGAUAACCUACCUAUAAGACUGGGAUAACUUCGGGAAACCGGAGCUAAUACCGUAUAAUAUAUUGAACCGCAUUGUUCAAUAGUGAAAGACGGUUUUGCUGUCACUUAUAGAUGGAUCCGCGCCGCAUUAGCUAGUUGGUAAGUUAACGGCUUACCAAGGCAACGAUGCGUAGCCGACCUGAGAGGGUGAUCGGCCACACUGGAACUGAGACACGGUCCAGACUCCUACGGGAGGCAGCAGUAGGGAAUCUUCCGCAAUGGGCGAAAGCUUGACGGAGCAACGCCGCGUGAGUGAUGAAGGUCUUCGGAUCGUAAAACUCUGUUAUUAGGGAAGAACAAAUGUGUAAGUAACUAUGCACGUCUUGACGGUACCUAAUCAGAAAGCCACGGCUAACUACGUG